ensembl:lncRNA
AAUGUGUGAGUAGGAGAAGCAAUUAGACUAUUUAUAAUACAAGUGAGAGUGACAGUUGCUUACACUUAAUUGUUAGUAUUGCAAAUGCACAGAAAUGGAAAAAUUCAGAAUAUAUUUUUAACAUUGAAAAUGACAGUUUGGAUGAAGAAGAAAACAUUCAGAGAAGCAAACCACUGCCCACCUUAGUACCACCCUUCCUUAACUUCCCCACUCCCAUCCAGAAUUUCAGGAAGGCUGUACAUUUUGAAGCAUGAGUAAUCAAAACUUGGUGCUUAUCUAAAGUUCUCAAGAAAGAGCAGAAAAACUCUUAUCAUCCUGUCUCUCCCAUUCAUUCAGGCAACUUUGUCUUUCUUAACGUAACAAGAAGUUUAUUCUUUGGAAAAUUCAAGCUGAGGGACAACAUAGGGUCUCCAGGCAUACAGGAGGAUGGACUGAGAUGCCUGGCUGACAAGGGGUUUAAGCUAAUAGUGACAUGGUGGAACCAAAGAUGAAAGCACACUGCAUUCACUAGAAGGGAGUAGCCCAAGAGAACUGCUGGACCCUCAGUACAUCUUGCAUGAGCAAGGAAGAAACUUUUAUGUGAUAGGUAAAAUCCUCAUUGGCCCUGGAAUUCAGCAAGCAGACAGCCUUCAGUUGCAGAGAGCUGCCUCACCCAAGGCCAUGCCUCUUCCCAAUUUGGUCCACAUCCCAUGAUUGCUCACUACUGGAGCAUAAAGCUUGGCCAUUUCUGCUCAACUUAGGACAUCACUAAAGGGCCAUUUGAGCUCCAGAUCUCCCUGCAGGAUCCACUGAAAGUAUCUUCAGGCUAAUCCACAGCUCCAAUUUUCCCUAUGCUCAAACAUGCUUCCUUCCUCUCCUUUUCUCAGAUAUGGAACCCAAGCACACUCAUUAAGAAAGAUCUUGAUACGGAAGUCUCAGAGUCUGUUCCAUAACAAGCCUGACCUGCAACUUUAUUUCAGGUUUCAUUGUGUUUUGAAAACAUAUUUUCCUUGAGAAAAUAAACACUGUUUUCCCCUGCUGAAAUUAUAGUUUUUCUUUGGUUAUUUAGAGAUGUGAGGAGAUAGAAAUGGCCACAUGAGAAUUUCAGCUUUUAUUUUAUGGAAUUAUUGUUGUGACCCCUGGUGAAAACAUGUCCCUUUGAAUACCAGAAGUCACAAGGGCAAGAAGCAAACAUGUUGACAUUAGCAUGAUGGACCAUUCUGUUUUACUGCUGGACUUCUUAGGAUGAUGUACUCUGGUUCUAGUGAACUGUACCAUGUUCAGAGCAAAUUACCCUCACAUACAUUGCUUGUGGGAAUGUAACAUUAUAUAGCUCCUUUGAAAAGCUGUUUGUCAAUGUUCUGUAAACUUGAGCUCUCAUCUAUCCAUAGCUAUUUUUCUUCCUAGGUAUUUACCCAAUCAAUAAAAAAUCAGGAACUGUAAAUAAUCCACAUGUCUGAACAGAUGAGUGGAAAAACUAUAGCUUAUUAAAAUAAUAUUCAGUUAUAAAAAGGAAUGAACCGGAAAAGGAAUGAUUCAUUUUAUAUUCACUCCAAAAAAAAAAAAAAAAA